ensembl:lncRNA
UGAUAGCAGGGUAAGACCUAGCUGGCAUAGGGAGCGGGUUCAACCAUUGUGGUUCUGGCGGAGCUGAAAACAGCAUCGGUCCGGUCCGGGACCCAACGGUCUGCUGCUGCCCAGCCGACAUAGCCGACCAAUAGGAGGCCAGGUAAGCUGUCUCAUAUGACCCGAUUCAACAGAGUUCACUUGACUUCUUCCUUUUAGAGCGAGGGCCAUCCUUCAACCAAUAGACAGGCUCAAUUACUCAAUUACUAUUGCAACUGUUACUGUGUUUUCAACAGGGAUCACAUAGGUGAUACACACAAGAUAUGUUGGGAAAAAAGAAAGGUACAAGGACAAUUCAGAGACGGGUUCUGGGUCUUAGAGACAGUCGUUUUUUUGGGGGGGGCUUCCUUUAAUGCCUUUGACUCCCUUCUGAAAAGAACAGGCGUAAACUUCUAACAGACCGACUUCAGACACUAUGAUUAGAGUACAGUAUAUUGUUGUAGUAGUGCAUUAUUGCAGGGCAUGUGUCAGACAUACAGUCCAGACACACAGACAGAGUGAGUGAGUAAGUUUAGAGAGUUGCUGGGUGUUAAUUGAGGUACUUGAUCUGAAUCCAAUAGCGUCUGAUGCUGCGAGCUGACAGACUAAAAGGGUUGUGAAAUCAACAUCAGACACACACACACACACACACACACACACACACACACACACACACACACACACACACACACACACAGUGUAGUUACAAUUAACAAGCUGUGUCUGGGCAACCCGAUACACACUGACUAAGUACAGAGGGAGGAGGGAGUGAAUGAAAGAGAGGAAGAGAAGAGGGGACAAGAGAGGUAGGGUAGAGACAGAGUGGUAAAGGGAGAGAAAGGGGGAAGAAGGGUUGGUAACCUGGGUAACCUGGUUCUUCUAUCUUCUCCUCUCACACUUUCUCCUUCCACUUCUUUUUACUUGUCCUCUCAUCUUCCUUUCUCCCCUCCUGUCCUCUCUCCUCUCAUCCUCCUCUCUCCCCUUGUCCUCUCAUCCUCCUCUCUCCCCUCCUGUCCUCUCUCCUCUCAUCCUCAUCUCUCCCCCUCUCCUCUCAUCCUCCUCUCUCCCCCUGUCCUCUCUUUCCCCUCUAUUUCCCACUCUCCUCCACUCUCUCCUUUCUAUUAAUCUCCUCUUUCACCUCCCCACUCCUCCUCCUCUCCUCCCUCUCCUUAACUCUUGCAGGUGUUAUCUCUCUCUCUUAAGCGGAGGCAAUUACCCAUUGACCUAAUAAAUAAUGAAUCUGAUAGGCUCAUUAAUGAUUAAUGUUAAUUGCUGAUUUAGGUUUCCUUCAACACAAAAAGACACAAGGGAGGGGAGAAUGCCAACAACUCUAAGGUCAAAGAGUCUCGCUCACACGGUCACACACACACACACACACACACACACACACGCACACCGGGUUAGAUGAAUGUGACAGUGGUAGGGUUCAGGGUUAGGGUUAGAUGAAGGUGGUAGGGUUCAGGGUUAGGGUUAGAUGAAGGUGGUAGGGUUCAGGUUUAGGGUUAGAUGAAGGUGGUAGGGUUCAGGGUUAGGGUUAGAUGGAGGUGGUAGGGUUCAGGGUUAGAUGAAGGUGGUAGGGUUCAGGGUUAGGGUUAGAUGGAGGUGGUAGGGUUCAGGGCUAGAUGAAGGUGGUAGGGUUCAGGGUUAGAUGAAGGUGGUAGCGUUCAGGGUUAGGGUUAGAUGAAGGUGGUAUAGUUCAGAGUCAG